GGCCUAAAUUCCAUUCAUUGUUAUCUAGACUUGAAGGAGGGUUUAUGUAAAAUUUGAUAUUUUCUGGAUCUAAGCCCGGCUCAUGAUCAAAUCUAUUCAUCCACCUGCAUGAAUCUCAAAGCUACCAUUUCGUGAUCCCAUUGGUGGAUUCGCGCGAUGAAAGCUGAGUCCUCGGUGCAGAAGGUGCAACCCCACUCCAGUGCGAAGGCUGCUAACGCGACCUUCGAUAGAACAGGUCCAGUAGCUUAGCCCAUAUAGUUGAGAUUACGCCCGCAUGCCACCUCGCUUCUCUCCUGUCCGAGGACCGAUCUGGAAUUAACUUUUUUCGACUGAUCCGCCCAAAUGGCCGAUCAACCCUCUCGGCCCGAAUCAACGACUCCACGUGUCGACCAGCCGACGAGCUUGAAACGGCCAGCCUUUUUCCGGUUCUGCAGCCGUUAUUUUAGCUUUGCACCAACCAACUUUAACCACC
rnacentral:lncRNA from 1 species